rnacentral:rRNA from 1 species
UACGCAGGCGGGAAGACAGGUCAGAUGUGAAACCCCAAGGCUUAACCAUGGGCCUGCAUCUGAAACCAUCUUUCUUGAGUAUCGGAGAGGAAAGCGGAACUCCUGGUGUAGCGGUGAAAUGCGUAGAUAUCAGGAGGAACACCGGUGGCGAAGGCGGCUUUCUGGCCGAAUACUGACGCUCAUGUACGAAGGCCGGGGGAGCAAACA